rnacentral:tRNA from 1 species
GGUUAGCUCAGAGUUAUAAGCGCCUGCCUUGCAAGCAGGCAGUCGUGAGUUUGAUCCCCACUACCG